rnacentral:rRNA from 1 species
AUUGAACGCUGGCGGCAGGCCUAACACAUGCAAGUCGAGCGGAUGAAGGGAGCUUGCUCCUGGAUUCAGCGGCGGACGGGGGAGUAAUGCCUAUGAAUCUGCCUUGUCGUGGGGGAUAACGUCCGGAAACGGGCGCUAAUACCGCAUACGUCCUGUUGUCGAAAGUGGGGGAUCUUCGGACCUCACGCUAUCUGAUGAGCCUAGGUGGGAUUCGCUAGUUUGUGGGGUAAAGGCCUACCAAGGCGACUAUCCGUAACUGGUCUCAGAGGAUGAUCCGUCACACUGGAACUGAGACACGGUCCAGACUCCUACGGGAGGCAGCAGUGGAGAAUAUUAGGCGAUGGGGGAAAGCCUGAUCCAGCACUGCCGGGUGUGGGCAGAAGGUCUUCGGAUUGUAAAGCGCUUUAAGUUGGGAGGAAGGGCAGUAAGUUAAUACCUUGCUGUAUUGACGGUACCAACAGAAUAAGCACCGGCUAACUUCGUG